AUUGAACGCUGGCGGCAUGCCUUACACAUGCAAGUCGAACGGCAGCACGGGGGCAACCCUGGUGGCGAGUGGCGAACGGGUGAGUAAUGCAUCGGAACGUGUCCUCUUGUGGGGGAUAACCAGUCGAAAGAUUGGCUAAUACCGCAUGAGAUCGCAAGAUGAAAGCGGGGGACCGCAAGGCCUCGCGCGAGAGGAGCGGCCGAUGCCGGAUUAGCUAGUUGGUGGGGUAACGGCCUACCAAGGCGACGAUCCGUAGCUGGUCUGAGAGGACGACCAGCCACACUGGGACUGAGACACGGCCCAGACUCCUACGGGAGGCGGCAGUGGGGAAUUUUGGACAAUGGGCGCAAGCCUGAUCCAGCCAUGCCGCGUGUGUGAAGAAGGCCUUCGGGUUGUAAAGCACUUUCGGACGGAACGAAAUCGCGCGGACGAACAUUCCGCGUGGAUGACGGUACCGUAAGAAGAAGCACCGGCUAACUACGUGCCAGCAGCCGCCGUAA
rnacentral:rRNA from 1 species